AGCGUACACGGUGGAUGCCCUGGCAGUCAGAGGCGAUGAAGGACGUGCUAAUCUGCGAUAAGCGUCGGUAAGGUGAUAUGAACCGUUAUAACCGGCGAUUUCCGAAUGGGGAAACCCAGUGUGAUUCGUCACACUAUCAUUAACUGAAUCCAUAGGUUAAUGAGGCGAACCGGGGGAACUGAAACAUCUAAGUACCCCGAGGAAAAGAAAUCAACCGAGAUUCCCCCAGUAGCGGCGAGCGAACGGGGAGCAGCCCAGAGCCUGAAUCAGUGUGUGUGUUAGUGGAAGCGUCUGGAAAGGCGCGCGAUACAGGGUGACAGCCCCGUACACAAAAAUGCACAUGCUGUGAGCUCGAUGAGUAGGGCGGGACACGUGGUAUCCUGUCUGAAUAUGGGGGGACCAUCCUCCAAGGCUAAAUACUCCUGACUGACCGAUAGUGAACCAGUACCGUGAGGGAAAGGCGAAAAGAACCCCGGCGAGGGGAGUGAAAAAGAACCUGAAACCGUGUACGUACAAGCAGUGGGAGCACAGAGCAAUCUGUGUGACUGCGUACCUUUUGUAUAAUGGGUCAGCGACUUAUAUUCUGUAGCAAGGUUAACCGAAUAGGGGAGCCGAAGGGAAACCGAGUCUUAACUGGGCGUUAAGUUGCAGGGUAUAGACCCGAAACCCGGUGAUCUAGCCAUGGGCAGGUUGAAGGUUGGGUAACACUAACUGGAGGACCGAACCGACUAAUGUUGAAAAAUUAGCGGAUGACUUGUGGCUGGGGGUGAAAGGCCAAUCAAACCGGGAGAUAGCUGGUUCUCCCCGAAAGCUAUUUAGGUAGCGCCUCGUGAAUUCAUCUCCGGGGGUAGAGCACUGUUUCGGCAAGGGGGUCAUCCCGACUUACCAACCCGAUGCAAACUGCGAAUACCGGAGAAUGUUAUCACGGGAGACACACGGCGGGUGCUAACGUCCGUCGUGAAGAGGGAAACAACCCAGACCGCCAGCUAAGGUCCCAAAGUCAUGGUUAAGUGGGAAACGAUGUGGGAAGGCCCAGACAGCCAGGAUGUUGGCUUAGAAGCAGCCAUCAUUUAAAGAAAGCGUAAUAGCUCACUGGUCGAGUCGGCCUGCGCGGAAGAUGUAACGGGGCUAAACCAUGCACCGAAGCUGCGGCAGCGACGCUGAUGCGUUGUUGGGUAGGGGAGCGUUCUGUAAGCCUGCGAAGGUGUGCUGUGAGGCAUGCUGGAGGUAUCAGAAGUGCGAAUGCUGACAUAAGUAACGAUAAAGCGGGUGAAAAGCCCGCUCGCCGGAAGACCAAGGGUUCCUGUCCAACGUUAAUCGGGGCAGGGUGAGUCGACCCCUAAGGCGAGGCCGAAAGGCGUAGUCGAUGGGAAACAGGUUAAUAUUCCUGUACUUGGUGUUACUGCGAAGGGGGGACGGAGAAGGCUAUGUUGGCCGGGCGACGGUUGUCCCGGUUUAAGCGUGUAGGCUGGUUUUCCAGGCAAAUCCGGAAAAUCAAGGCUGAGGCGUGAUGACGAGGCACUACGGUGCUGAAGCAACAAAUGCCCUGCUUCCAGGAAAAGCCUCUAAGCAUCAGGUAACAUCAAAUCGUACCCCAAACCGACACAGGUGGUCAGGUAGAGAAUACCAAGGCGCUUGAGAGAACUCGGGUGAAGGAACUAGGCAAAAUGGUGCCGUAACUUCGGGAGAAGGCACGCUGAUAUGUAGGUGAAGUCCCUCGCGGAUGGAGCUGAAAUCAGUCGAAGAUACCAGCUGGCUGCAACUGUUUAUUAAAAACACAGCACUGUGCAAACACGAAAGUGGACGUAUACGGUGUGACGCCUGCCCGGUGCCGGAAGGUUAAUUGAUGGGGUCAGCGCAAGCGAAGCUCUUGAUCGAAGCCCCGGUAAACGGCGGCCGUAACUAUAACGGUCCUAAGGUAGCGAAAUUCCUUGUCGGGUAAGUUCCGACCUGCACGAAUGGCGUAAUGAUGGCCAGGCUGUCUCCACCCGAGACUCAGUGAAAUUGAACUCGCUGUGAAGAUGCAGUGUACCCGCGGCAAGACGGAAAGACCCCGUGAACCUUUACUAUAGCUUGACACUGAACAUUGAGCCUUGAUGUGUAGGAUAGGUGGGAGGCUUUGAAGUGUGGACGCCAGUCUGCAUGGAGCCGACCUUGAAAUACCACCCUUUAAUGUUUGAUGUUCUAACGUGGACCCGUAAUCCGGGUUGCGGACAGUGUCUGGUGGGUAGUUUGACUGGGGCGGUCUCCUCCUAAAGAGUAACGGAGGAGCACGAAGGUUGGCUAAUCCUGGUCGGACAUCAGGAGGUUAGUGCAAUGGCAUAAGCCAGCUUGACUGCGAGCGUGACGGCGCGAGCAGGUGCGAAAGCAGGUCAUAGUGAUCCGGUGGUUCUGAAUGGAAGGGCCAUCGCUCAACGGAUAAAAGGUACUCCGGGGAUAACAGGCUGAUACCGCCCAAGAGUUCAUAUCGACGGCGGUGUUUGGCACCUCGAUGUCGGCUCAUCACAUCCUGGGGCUGAAGUAGGUCCCAAGGGUAUGGCUGUUCGCCAUUUAAAGUGGUACGCGAGCUGGGUUUAGAACGUCGUGAGACAGUUCGGUCCCUAUCUGCCGUGGGCGCUGGAGAAUUGAGGGGGGCUGCUCCUAGUACGAGAGGACCGGAGUGGACGCAUCACUGGUGUUCUGGUUGUCAUGCCAAUGGCACUGCCCGGUAGCUAAAUGCGGAAGAGAUAAGUGCUGAAAGCAUCUAAGCACGAAACUUGCCCCGAGAUGAGUUCUCCCUGACUCCUUGA
rnacentral:rRNA from 1 species